GCUUCGGGUCGGCCGAGCAAGUGCAACGUCUGUUUGAAAACUGCUGCCCGGGUCCGCCGGUCGGGUCGUGUGUCCUCCAAAAUCCAAACAUGAUCAACAUGGAUGCUAGGAAGGAAAGGGAGUGGCAGCAGCAUUCUUCUGGAAUGGGAAAAGCACGAAAAGACAUCAAAGUUUAAAAACUGGAUGAUGGACCAGCAACAACUCCUUGUACCAGAUAUUUGAGACUGCCCCCACCUGACAACAGAUGCACUCUGCAGGUAGAUGGGCAGUCCUUAGCUGCCCAUAUACUGCCAAUGCACUACCACUGCUGAACCAUAGUUUCCUCAUGAGUGUUACCUACUGCAUCAGCUUGUAAAGAGUUGUGGCAGUGCAUUCCUUUUUUCCAUACGUUUUUUAGUUUCUCCACCUGUCUGCCUCAGUCUCAUAAAAAGGACAUGGCUUGAAAGCAUUUAGGAUUUUUUCCCCCUUUGAUACAGUGAGGAGGGAAUUAGACUUUGGUGGUCAAAGAUCACUCUCCAUUUCACCUGCUUUGGUGCUCAUUCUGAUUGUACAGGUAGAACAGCUCCUCCAAGAGGAUGGCACAUCAAAAUCUGCAAAUUUCAGCUCUCCGUAAUGUUAUGACUUAGAGAUUUCAAGGGGCAGGCAAGUACACAAGGAGAGUUAGGACAGCAGACAUUGUCAGCAAUGACUAGUACUUUCUUCUUUGUUUGAGGAGGAACAUGAGGAGCAGUGACCUCCAGAGGGUUACACAAAUGUGCAUGUUUCUAACCAAACUGUCACGAGUGACGUAUGUCAAUAUAAAAGAAAAAAAAAAAUCUUGAGACCUUAAGAUAAACAAGG